UGCCACGUGCAGGAUGAAUGCCCUAUGGGUUGUAAACUGCUUUUAUACAAGAAGAAACCUCGGUACGUGUACCGACUUGACGGUAUUGUAUGAAUAAGCACCGGCUAACUCCGUGCCAGCAGCCGCGGUAAU
rnacentral:rRNA from 1 species